rnacentral:rRNA from 1 species
AUCUGGUUGGCUUCGGUGAAANCGGAUCAAGGUGGUCUCUUUAUAAAAGCUAACGUUUGGAGAUGAGCUCGCGUUACAUUAGCUAGUUGGUGAGGGUAAGGCUCACAAGGGCGACGAUGGUUAGCUGGUCUGAGAGGAUGAUCAGNCACACCGGAACUGGAGGACGGUCCGGACUCCUACNGGAGGCAGCAGUGAGGAAUUUUGCGCAAUGGGGGAAACCCUGACGCAGCAACGCCGCGUGAGUGAUGAAGGCUUUCGGGUCGUAAAGCUCUGUCAGGUGGGAAGAACCCACCAAGUGUUAAGACCACUUGGUGCUGACGGUACCACCGAAGGAAGCACCGGCUAACUCCGUGCCAGCAGCCGCGGUAAUACGGGGGGUGCGAGCGUUAUUCGGAAUCAUUGGGCGUAAAGGGCGCGCAGGCGGUUUUGUAAGUCAGAUGUGAAAUCCCGGGGCUUAACCCCGGAAGUGCAUAUGAAACUAUGAGACUUGAGUAUGGGAGAGGGAAGCGGAAUUCCUGGUGUAGCGGUGAAAUGCGUAGAUAUCAG